CGCCUGGGGAGUACGGCCGCAAGGUUAAAACUCAAAUGAAUUGACGGGGGCCCGCACAAGCGGUGGAGCAUGUGGUUUAAUUCGACGCAACGCGAAGAACCUUACCUGGCCUUGACAUCCAGAGAGCUUUCCAGAGAUGGAUUGGUGCCUUCGGGAACUCUGAGACAGGUGCUGCAUGGCCGUCGUCAGCUCGUGUCGUGAGAUGUUGGGUUAAGUCCCGUAACGAGCGCAACCCCUAUCCCUGGUUGCUAGCAGGUAAUGCUGAGAACUCCAGGGAGACUGCCGGUGACAAACCGGAGGAAGGUGGGGAUGACGUCAGGUCAUCGUGGCCCUUACGGCCAGGGCUACACACGUGCUACAAUGGCGCGUACAGAGGGCUGCCAACUCGCGAGAGUGAGCCAAUCCCUUAAAACGCGUCGUAGUCCGGAUCGGAGUCUGCAACUCGACUCCGUGAAGUCGGAAUCGCUAGUAAUCGCGAACCAGAAUGUCGCGGUGAAUACGUUCCCGGGCCUUGUACACACCGCCCGUCACACCAUGGGAGUGGAUUGCGCCAGAAGUAGUUAGUCUAACCUUCGGGAGGACGAUUACCACGGUGUGGUUCAUGACUGGGGUGAAGUCGUAACAAGGUAACCGUA
rnacentral:rRNA from 1 species